GGAGGAGUGACGUCAUAAACAAAGCGACGGAAGCCACACCUGGAAAACAACUGCCCAGAUUCUCUGGAGAGUGGAGGAGACUGGAGGAGGACUCCACAACUGCCGAAGUGAAGAAAGGAGAAAACACCUUUGCUUAACUUCUGCUUGCCUGAUUGUGCAUGAAAAUCCAGAGGAAGAUAUAUGCCUGCUAAGGGAUUGACAAUGCAAUCACAGGUGAGU
rnacentral:lncRNA from 1 species